rnacentral:tRNA from 11 species
UUGUGGCGUAACGGAUAACGCACCGGACUUCUAUUGAUAUAAGAAAUCCGGGGAUUGCGGGUUCGAAUCCCGUCAG